rfam:Colinus virginianus strain Texas jcf7180006227052, whole genome shotgun sequence.
GUGUGACCUGUGGGCUUCCCUUUGUCAUCCUAUGCCUGGAGAUCACAGUGAGGCAGGGACAGCAAAGGGAUGCUCAGCUGUCGUCUCU